AUUGAACGCUGGCGGCAGGCCUAACACAUGCAAGUCGAGCGAGCGGCGGACGGGUGAGUAAUGUCUGGGAAACUGCCUGAUGGAGGGGGAUAACUACUGGAAACGGUAGCUAAUACCGCAUACCCUCACAUGGUCCACGAUGGGUUCAGCUAGUAGUUGGGGUAACGGCUCACCUAGGUGACGAACCCUAGCUGGUCUGAGAGGAUGACCAGACACACUGGAACUGAGACACGGUCCAGACUCCUACGGGAGGAAGCAGUGGGGAAUAUUGGACAAGGGGCGCACGCCGGAUACAGCCAUGCCGCGUGUGUGAGGAAGGCCUUCGGGUUGUAAAGCACUUUCAGCGGGGAGGCGUUACCAACAGAAUAAGCACCGGCUAACUUCGUGCCAGCAGCCGCGGUAAUAC
rnacentral:rRNA from 1 species